rnacentral:sRNA from 1 species
GGGGUUUCGCCACGUUGGCCAGGCUGGUCUCGAAUUCCUGACCUCAGGUGAUCCACUCGCCUCAGCCUUCCAAAGUGCUGGGAUUACUGGCAUGAGCCACCACGUCCAGCCCAUUGUGGAAUAGUCUUUAAACAUAUUUGCUCCUGCUUUUUUUUUUUUUCAAGUAUCAUCACUUCAGGUAUCCCUUAUGGCAUUUUCCCUGACUUGUACUUAAGAAAUAUAAUUAUGAUUUCUUACAGUUUGUCAGGGAGCCACUGGUGAUGUGGAUGGGGCACAGAUUGUCUUUAAAGAAGUUCAGAAACUCUUCAAAAGGAAAAACAAUCAGAUUGAACAGUUCUCGGUGAAAAAGGCAGAGCGAUUUCGGAAGCAAACCCCAACCAAAGCACUCUGUGUGCUGGCGUCCAUCGAAGUGUUGUACUUGUGGAAAGCUCUUCCAAACUGUUCCUUCCCCAACCUGCAGAGGAUGAGUCAAGCUUGCCAUGAAGUGGAUGACUCAUCUGUUGUUGGAUUAAAGUAUUUGCUUCUUGGUGCCAUACACAAAUGUCUAGGAAACUCAGAAGAUGCUGUUCAGUACUUCCGGCGAGCUGUUAAAGAUGAAUUGUGUCGUCAGAAUAACUUAUAUGUUCAGCCGUAUGCCUGUUAUGAACUUGGCUGUCUUUUAUUAGACAAACCAGAGACUGUAGGAAGAGGCAGAGCUCUACUUCUUCAAGCAAAGGAGGAUUUCUCUGGCUACGACUUUG